AUGUGCAAUGCAAACAUCAGAGCACAUGCUCGGUUUUGCUCUGUAACAACGCCAACAUCACAGAGGAGCGUAACCAUGCAAAAUCUUUAUUUGGAGAAUGUCUCCUGUGGGACAGCAGCACCCCUCCAGUUUACAUCUCCAUUCUUUACUGGGACUGUGCAGAAGGAUAGAAGUUUAAACUCCAUGGUCAACACCUUAUCAUCCCAUCUGACCGCCUGUCAUCCAGCCCCACCAUCCCCAGCUGCAGCAGCACAAGCUGGAUACCCAACUCCUAACAACGUGCUUUUUGAGGAACUAGCUCUGCUCUUCCUCCUGGAAAUAAACACACACACAGAGUUCUUCACUGCUGCUCUGCAGUCACACCACUGUGCUGCAGGAGACCCUAGGAACAGGCUCCACAUCCUCCUCCUCCUCCUCGGCAUCCACUCAGCCCUGAGCUCCUGCCCUUGCCAUUGCCAGUGACAGCUGUUGCCAUGACAGCUUUAUUGAAACAGGCACUGAAAGUCACCAUUAACUAUCUUUUAACUACAUCCGGAGCAGAAGGAGCUUUCUGAUGACUAUUUGCAACUGGCAAAAGGCUUCUGGAAAGGUGUUCAUCUAUGGUAUCAUCCCCAAGGCCCAUUCAGAUAGGUGAUAUGGCACAGGUGCCAUAGAAACACUAAGCCAUAGUCACUCCUACGUCAUAGUAGGAAAUAUCUAGUGUGGUUAGACUAACACACCAUGUUUAAAGCAGUACUAACUCUAGUCUUUCAUCCAUUGGUCAGUCACGUUACUGCAAAAUAAAGCUUAUUAAUGUUUUAGGUUUUAAUUUCUU
rnacentral:lncRNA from 1 species